rnacentral:rRNA from 1 species
GCGGCGUGCCUAACACAUGCAAGUCGAACGAGCAGCCGGAUUCUUCGGAAAUCGGUGGGCUAGUGGCGCACGGGUGAGUAACACGUUGGUGACCUGCCCCGAAGCGGGGGACAACCACUGGAAACGGUGGCUAAUACCGCAUGUGCUUAAUCAUUCGUUUGGUUAAGUAAAACUCAGGUGCUUCGGGAGGGGCCUGCGGUCGAUUAGUUAGUUGGUGAGGUAAUGGCUCACCAAGACGAUGAUCGAUAGGGGGCGUGAGAGCGUGACCCCCCACACUGGAACUGAGACACGGUCCAGACUCCUACGGGAGGCAGCAGUGAGGAAUAUUGCACAAUGGGCGCAAGCCUGAUGCAGCAACGCCGCGUGGGGGAUGAAGGCCUUCGGGUCGUAAACCCCUUUUCCAUGGGAAGAGAAAGGACGGUACCAUGGGAAUAAGUCUCGGCUAACUACGUGCCAGCAGCCGCGGUAAAACGUAGGAGGCGAACGUUAUCCGGAAUUACUGGGCGUAAAGCGCGCGCAGGCGGCUUUGUAAGUCCGACGUGAAAGCUCCCGGCUUAACUGGGAGAGGCCGUUGGAUACUGCGGAGCUUGAGGUUAGGAGAGGAAAGCGGAAUUCCCGGUGUAGUGGUGGAAUGCGUAGAUAUCGGGAGGAACUCCAGAGGCGAAGGCGGCUUUC